rnacentral:rRNA from 1 species
AACAGGAUUAGAUACCCUGGUAGUCCAUGCCGUAAACGAUGAGUGCUAGGUGUUGGAGGGUUUCCGCCCUUCAGUGCCGGAGCUAACGCAUUAAGCACUCCGCCUGGGGAGUACGACCGCAAGGUUGAAACUCAAAGGAAUUGACGGGGGCCCGCACAAGCGGUGGAGCAUGUGGUUUAAUUCGAAGCUACGCGAAGAACCUUACCAGGUCUUGACAUCUUGCGCCAACCCUAGAGAUAGGGCGUUUCCUUCGGGAACGCAAUGACAGGUGGUGCAUGGUCGUCGUCAGCUCGUGUCGUGAGAUGUUGGGUUAAGUCCCGCAACGAGCGCAACCCUUGUUACUAGUUGCCAGCAUUAAGUUGGGCACUCUAGUGAGACUGCCGGUGACAAACCGGAGGAAGGUGGGGACGACGUCAGAUCAUCAUGCCCCUUAUGACCUGGGCUACACACGUGCUACAAUGGACGGUACAAUGAGUCGCGAACUCGCGAGGGCAAGCAAAUCUCUUAAAACCGUUCUCAGUUCGGACUGUAGGCUGCAACUCGCCUGCACGAAGUCGGAAUCGCUAGUAAUCGCGGAUCAGCAUGCCGCGGUGAAUACGUUCCCGGGCCUUGUACACACCGCCCGUCACACCAUGAGAGUUUGUAACACCCAAAGUCGGUGGGGUAACCUUUUAGGAGCCAGCCGCCUAAGGUGGGACAGAUGAUUAGGGUGAAGUCGUAACAAGGUAACC